AACGUGACAGCACAGCAGACGAACUUCAGAGCGCGCAUAUCAUAAUGGUUGGGAAGUCAUAUCCAUGUGUUGUAUGCAAAAGGCGAUAAGAUACACAUACUUCACAUCAUUUUCGUAGAUUUCCAAAAGACAAAGAAAGGUGUCUGUUAUGGCUAAAUAUAUUGCAUAUCCCAAGCCUCCACGAAAAAAGCCACAUUCAGCUGAAUAGAAGCUUCCGCGUGUGCAGUCACCAUUUCUCUGCCUCUCAAUAUUGCAACACCUCAUCAGCUAAACUAUUAAGCACUGCUUGCCCUGACCAAAAUUUAGAAGGAAUUGGUUCAUUGGGAGAGGCUGGCCAGUCUGCAAUUGCUAAUGAGGACAAAUUAGAUGGUAUAGUAAUUUUAUUGCUUUUAUGUGACAUUAUAAAUAAAAUGAUGAUAUAAUUUGCACUAUAAUAGUAACUGAUAAAUGUUAUUGAUUUUGCAUAAUACAUCCACAGGUGUUUAAUAUUAAUUAGUCUCAAGUAUUUGUAUCUGUUCAUUUGCUACCAAAUCCCCAAGUUCUGGUUAAAAUUUAGAAGAGGGAUCUGAGAGGCUCUGCCCCAACAUGU
rnacentral:lncRNA from 1 species